UAAAGCGGCGCACGGGUGCGUAACACGUGGGUAAUCUGCCCUGAAGUCCGGAAUAACUCGCCGAAAGGCGCGCUAAUGCCGGAUGAGACCACGGGGUCUUCGGACCUCGCGGGAAAAGGUGGCCUCUGUAAACAAGCUAUCGCUUCAGGAUGAGCCCGCGGCCCAUCAGCUAGUUGGCGGGGUAAAGGCCCACCAAGGCAACGACGGGUAGCUGGUCUGAGAGGACGAUCAGCCACACUGGAACUGAGACACGGUCCAGACUCCUACGGGAGGCAGCAGUGGGGAAUCUUGCGCAAUGGGCGAAAGCCUGACGCAGCAACGCCGCGUGUGUGAUGAAGGUCUUCGGAUCGUAAAGCACUGUCGCGAGGGACG
rnacentral:rRNA from 1 species